UGACACUGGAGAGACCUGGCUUCUGGGGCAGAGGGCUCUGCAAGCCUGUUGCGCAUGUGUGGACUCUUUCAUGUACAAUAAGUGUACAGUCAUUCUCCCUUGCUACUGUAAUUGUGGUACAAACAGAAAAUGUGCCUAACGAAGAAUGGACCUUCAGAUUCUCCAAACUGUUGAUCCUGAGGAACUUUCCAAAAUGGCUCCCAUGAAAAUGCCUUCUCUGCUGCAUCUACUAUUUAGGAAACAAGUUUAGAGAGCCUAUUUAUUGAAGAGACUAAACUUGGUGGAGGCAAGAGGAAGACUGUGCCGGAGGUAAACACAAACUCUUGGGAAAGUGAAAAGUAAACAAGGUAAACACUGUGAUGAAGACUGUUGCAUACGCUCAUCGUUAUCAUCGACAUCUUAGGCAUAGUAAAGGAAAAAGAUAAUGGCAAUUAAACUUAAUG